rnacentral:tRNA from 1 species
GAUAAUGUAGUUCAGUGGUAGAGCACUUGCCUACCAUGCAUGAGGGCCUGGGUUCAAUCUCCAGCACUGUAA